UACACACAUGACUGUAAGUCACAUUGGAUAAAAGUGUCUGCUAAAUGGCAUAUA
rfam:Salmo salar isolate Sally breed double haploid chromosome ssa18, whole genome shotgun sequence.